rnacentral:rRNA from 1 species
UGCAAGUCGAGCGAUUUACUUCGGUAAAGAGCGGCGGACGGGUGAGUAACGCGUGGGUAACCUGCCCUGUACACACGGAUAACAUACCGAAAGGUAUGCUAAUACGGGAUAAUGUACUUUUGUCGCAUGGCAAAAGUAUCAAAGCUCCGGCGGUACAGGAUGGACCCGCGUCUGAUUAGCUAGUUGGAGAGGUAAUGGCUCACCAAGGCGACGAUCAGUAGCCGACCUGAGAGGGUGAUCGGCCACACUGGAACUGAGACACGGUCCAGACUCCUACGGGAGGCAGCAGUGGGGAAUAUUGCACAAUGGGCGAAAGCCUGAUGCAGCAACGCCGCGUGAGCGAUGAAGGCCUUCGGGUCGUAAAGCUCUGUCCUCAGGGAAGAUAAUGACGGUACUUGAGGAGGAAGCCCCGGCUAACUACGUGCCAGCAGCCGCGGUAAUACGUAGGGGGCAAGCGUUAUCCGGAAUUACUGGGCGUAAAGGGUGCGUAGGCGGUUUCUUAAGUCAGGGGUGAAAGGCUACGGCUCAACCGUAGUAAGCCUCUGAAACUGGGAAACUUGAGUGUAGGAGAGGAAAGUGGAAUUCCCAGUGUAGCGGUGAAAUGCGUAGAUAUUGGGAGGAAUACCAGUGGCGAAGGCGGCUCUCUGGACUAUAACUGACACUGAUGCACGAAAGCGUGGGGAGCAAACAGGAUUAGGUACCCUGGUAGUCCACGCUGUA